AUUGAACGCUGGCGGCAUGCCUUACACAUGCAAGUCGAACGGCAGCACGGGUGCUUGCACCUGGUGGCGAGUGGCGAACGGGUGAGUAAUACAUCGGAACAUGUCCUGUAGUGGGGGAUAGCCCGGCGAAAGCCGGAUUAAUAACGCAUACGAUCUACGGAUGAAAGCGGGGGACCUUCGGGCCUCGCGCUAUAGGGUUGGCCGGGGGCUGAUUUGCUUGUUGGUGGGGUAAAGGCCUACCAAGGCGACGAUAGGUAGCUGGUCUGAGAGGGUGACCAGCGACAUAGGGACUGAGGUGCGGCCCAGGGUGGUAAGUGAGGCAGCAGUGGGAAAUCUUGCCCAAUGGGCGGAGGCUUGAUGAAGAAGCCCCGCGUGUGGGAUGACGGUUUUCGGGGUAAAAACCGCUUUGGCCUGUGACGGAGCGUGAGUGACGGUAACGGGUAAAGAAGCCCCGGCUAACUACGUG
rnacentral:rRNA from 1 species